rnacentral:rRNA from 1 species
CCUGAACGCUGGCGGCGUGGCUAAGACAUGCAAGUCGCACGGAGGUAGCAAUACCUUAGUGGCGAACGGGUGAGUAAUGAAUCGCUAAUGUGCCCCGGACUCUGGGAUAGCUGCCCGAAAGGGCAGGUAAUACCAGAUGAUAUAACCGAACCGCAUGGUUUGGUUCUCAAAGGUCCGCCGGUCUGGGAGCAGGCGAUUUCGUAUCAGCUAGUUGGUGAGGUAACGGCNCACCAAGGCGACGACGCGUAGCCGGACUGAGAGGUUGGCCGGCCACAUUGGGACUGAGACACUGCCCCAGACUCCUACGGGGGGCUGCAGUAACGAAUCUUCCGCAAUGCACGAAAGUGUGACGGAGCGACGCCGCGUGUAGGACGAAGCCC